AUGAACGCUGGCUACAGGCUUAACACAUGCCAGUCGCGGGGAAACGACGGGGAAGCUUGCUUCCCCGGGCGUCGACCGGCGCACGGGUGAGUAACGCGUAUCCAACCUGCCUCUGACUGAGGGAUAACCCGUCGAAAGUCGGCCUAAUACCUCAUGGCAUCGUCUGCGGGCAUCCAACGACGAUUAAAGAUUUCAUCGGUCAGGGAUGGGGAUGCGUCUGAUUAGCUUGUUGGCGGGGUAACGGCCCACCAAGGCUACGAUCAGUAGGGGUUCUGAGAGGAAGGUCCCCCACAUUGGAACUGAGACACGGUCCAAACUCCUACGGGAGGCAGCAGUGAGGAAUAUUGGUCAAUGGGCGGGAGCCUGAACCAGCCAAGUAGCGUGCAGGAUGACGGCCCUAUGGGUUGUAAACUGCUUUUAUGCGGGGAUAAAGUGAGGGACGUGUCCUUCAUUGCAGGUACCGCAUGAAUAAGGACCGGCUAAUUCCGUG
rnacentral:rRNA from 1 species